UCAGUGUCUGACUGGUUGUUGGUGAGACACAAACUUGUUCAGGGCUGGAACAUUCUGUCCAAUCAGAGACACUCAGACUCAUCAUCAUCAUCCUCAUCAUCAUCUGAAGAGAACUGUCCAUGAGCCAGGACAAAUCCUCUUCAUCCUCAUCUACUGAACACUUCAUCUUCUCUCUUCAGCUAACGCUGCAGGAUGGAGUGCAGGUUACAGACUGGAGCUCUAGAACAUUCUGUAGUAAAUGUUCAACUGAUGAGUCACCGUAAGCACUCGCAGGAAUUUCAGGACAGACGAUGAUUCAAUCUCGAAAGAAAGAAAGGAUCUGCUCAUGAUCCAAAACAUACAAGCUGAUCUGUGAAACAUGGUGGAGGUAGUGUCAUGGCUUUGGCUUGCAUGGCUGCUUCUGGAACAUUCUCACUGAUCUUUAUUGAUGAUGAGCUCAUGAUGGUAGCAGCAGAACGAAUUCAGAAAUUUACAGGAACAUUCUGUCUGUAGAUUUACAGAGAAAUGCAUCCAAAUGAAUCAGGAGGAACUUCAUCAUGCAGCAAGACAACGAUCCAAAACACACUUCCACCUCAACACAGGACUUCAUCAGGGGGAAAAGUGGAAGGUUUUAGACUGGACAAGACAAUCACCAGACCUUAACCCAACUGAUCAGCAUUUCACCUCCUGAAGAGGAGACUGAAGGGAGAAACCCCUCGAAACAAACAACUACUGAAAGAAGCUGCAGUAAAAACCUGGAGAAGCUUCACAGGAGAAGUAACCAGCAGUUUGGUGUCAGUGAGUCGCAGGAUUGAUGCAGUUACAGCGAGUAAAAGGGAAACACAACCGAAUAUUAGCUCUUAUUCACUUUUAUUUACUUCAGGACUGACCUGUUCCUAUACUUUUGAUCAGCUAGAAAUUGUGUUGCGAUACAGAAGGUUGUGUGUUUUAUGAUGUUUAACAUGUCUAGACGUAAAUAUCAGGAAAUAAAAAUUGAAAUCCUCUCGUCUCAUCUCCAUCUUUUCAUCUCAAACCCAGAUGUUUGGUGUAGAGCAUGACCGGCCUUGUGGUGCAAUAGUUUUGGAGGGGAAAUAUAUUUUACUAUACCACUUUAAUAUGUUACAUUAUACUGUAUUUCACUACACCACACACUGCUAUACUGUAUUAUACUAUAUUUCAUACCAGCAAGAUCAAACUAUAGCAGUGAUGCUAACGCCAGCAAAACUGCUGCACUUCUAUUUACAGGAAGCUUUACAUUUAUCAACCUAGUGUUAACACGGGGCCUGCGACGGGGUCUGCGAAAACUGAUCCUACGUCCGUUUGUCGGCUAUACGGUGAAUAAUAAACGGAGACGUGUUUGCAGAUCAUCAGUAGUUUAUUGAAAGUUGAAAACACAUUCAGACGGAACCUGCUGAAGCCAACGGGAGUUCAACACCCGACCCCGAGCGUAAAUACAGGCUGGAGGAGGAGAAACAAAAUUAAAGUGAACAAAAAGGGAAAAAAAAAGUGCUAGCAUUAUAACGUUGUAUCAAAAAAUUAAAAAAAAAAAAAAAAAAAAAUGUAAAAAGAGCGUAAACCGGCCGUGCAAAGUGGUUUGUGACGAGGAAAUAAAGUCAGCGUGGAAUACUGCAGGGAGGAAAACGAGCUCUGCUUCAGCAAGACGCUCGCAAAAACAACCGAGAAACAAAAAUCAUAAACACAUACGCUAUCAUAGAGACAGUACUAAUAUCCGAGAUCAUCAGUACCGCUAACACUGCCUUACCAUCACACACGCUGUUAACAAUGAGCUAAAGGAACGGUUCAGCCCAAAACCAAACGUACAGAAUACAUUCGAUCAGCCGAGUUUCACACUGGAGCUACCAGGCUAAUGCAGCUAGCAAAUAACGCGCUCUUAUAGCUACCAGUUCAGCAUGACGGUUCGACCGACACGCGCAUCUAUAAACAACAAUAAAAGGAACAUCACAGAUAAAACUGCAGUUGUUUUUCCACCAAAAAGUACUUUAACGAUACAUUGAGUCAGGUGGGGGGAGGGGGGGCAUGAAUCUAGUUUGUACAUCAGAAACAUUUGAUGUGUUUAUAUAUUUUUUAAAAAGACAGACAAUCUGCUAUUUCAUGAAAUUUUAUGUACAAAUGAUGUCUUGACGCUAACCUGGUAGCUAUAAACCGGUGAAAACUGCUAGCUAUAUUAGCAUUAGUGUAAUUCAAAAGUGAGCUUUUGGAUUUAAAAAGAAAAAAAAAAAAAAAGAAAAACAGCGCACGUUUUAUUUAUGGCCGAACUGUUCCACGUGACCAGGCAUGUGCCGAUCAUCCAUCACAUGACGAUAUUUAACGAGGAGAGGGCAGGGGGG